AGUUGUAUAACGUGACAUCAGACCAGCAACUUCCUUGAAUCAAGCAUGCUUAUAUCAUUUCAUAAUAUGAGCUUGCACACAAGACUCAAACGGGAGCAUGAGGUAGGCCGUUUCUUCUAGCUAGUUAUAAGAUUGAUGUGGUGUAUUGAUAAAAAUAUAAUGGAAUUAUCACCAUGAACUAUACCCUAUGCAAGGUACAUAUACAGAAACAACUACAGAGGGACCAUGUUAAAACUGUUCUAGAAGGGGAGAUAAUAGAACAGCAUAGAAUCCUUCCUCCUGAAGCCUCGUAUAGUGUGUGCGCUUGAGAUCGCGCUUGAGAUCUCUUCCUAUCAAGCUCCUCACUAAAAGAGAAUAAUAAUAGUAAUAAAAAAUCAUGGAUAAUAAAUAGUACUGCAUUGGUAAUGUAUACAUAAGGGGCCUUGCAAACAGGUCUAAACUGCAGAAAGAUAUUUUUAUGUUCAUCCUCUUUUCUGGCAAGAGCUAUUAAUCGUUUCAAAUGGUGGAUUAUGUAGAUUAUCAUUUGUGAUUAUAAUCACAAGGACAGUACAGUGUAAUAGAUAUAAAAACAGAACAUGGUAGUAUAAUUUAUUUUUAAUAGUCCCUGACAUGAAAACAUGACAAAGGGGGGAAUUUCCCUGUCCAACAAUGUCUACCGUCAAUUAAAAGAACGACAAUUGAUCACCAAACCUAUGGAGUACUGAAUUUUCCUUUCAUUCCAGAACUUGUACUAUUCAAGACAACAACAUUUCAAGUGCACUUAAAUAUGUUUAACAAAAUGAAUGGUAAAUAAAUAAACAUACCCAGGGGAUGCACGUUCUGCCCGUCCUUUAGAAUGUAGAGUGGUUUGUCCAUAUGGUACACAUAUGACAUCUCUUCCUCAGAACUUAGUGUUUGCCCAUAUGGCACAAAAUAGCAUCGGAAGAUUUACAGAUCGACGCCACAGAGCAUAGACACAAAUUCACCUACGGGUUGGAAGCAUAGGUAAAAAAACUUGAUUUAAUCACCAUGCAUAUAACCACUGUACCUCAUUCCUCCAAUGAAAUCAGUCAAUGGUUCUCCUAACUUCUUUCUUAUAAAAUACAGCCGAGCAAUGUGGUGUGUUCGAAUUUCAAUUGCACUUGGAGCAACGCAAUCAGGUUGUUCCGAGCAGUACCAUAUGGUCCAUAGAUAGCACACAGCUACCUCCAAUAUCUAACUGCUAUACAAAAAAAUACUGGAAAUAGUAAGAGCGAAGAGCAGACCAGCAAACGAAAUCGCUGGAAGAAAGAACAUCACGAGUUCAGUCAUUUCCUGCCAACCGGGGGUUCGACAGGAAGUCAACGGCGGCGUAUGACGAUGUAGUAUGAGGAUGAAACAGAGAAGGGUUGUGGUGACAAAUUUAAGGUACUUGCAGCUCUCAACACCCGACGACACGAGGCGCCCCUGAACGGGCGCGAGGUCGAGGAGCGGGCGGUGCCAGGCAACUGGAAGCCGCUACCCGGAGGGAUCUAGCGACGCUGGACGGCCGGGUGCGAGCUCAAGGCGCCGGACCUCUUAAUCAUCUCACUUUAAAUCUCUCAUUGCCUAGCAGAGACCACACACAAGCCACCACAGCCCCAACACGGCAACACAUGCACGCGCCGCCCAGCCAUCACACCACCACCCCGCCUCCGACCACGCUUCUACCGACCCGCUCUGCCGCCGUCCACUAUGCAUCUCCCUCGGCUGCAGCCCCAGCAAGAAAUACUAACAAAAUGCGGCAUCCCGGCGACCGGGGCCUGUCGACGAACAAGCGGAUCACAACCCAUUCUCCUAGAAAAAAACAGAGACAAACCAGGUCGUGUCACUAGGCACUAGGCACGCGGCAUCCACCAUCUCCACCCAGCAGCCGGAUCACGGCCCGAGCGCCAUUCACGUGAUCCCAGGGCCCGACGCCAACCCCAAACCAGACCAAAAGAAAUCUACGGUAGAGAGGGAGGAGAGGGGGGUGCGCACCAUAUCCGGCGUCGAGGCAGGCGGUGUGGAAGACGCCGGCGUAAGCGGAUCCAUCGCGGACCUGGACCUCGACGGGGCAGGUCAUGGACGAGGGGGAGGGCCGGCGACGGGGCGGN
rnacentral:lncRNA from 1 species